rnacentral:siRNA from 1 species
AGUAUGGCCUUGGAGUCCUCUA